GGGUCAGUAGGUUGGUCGUGCCACCGGUACGUACUGGUCUCACUGAUUCCUCCUUCCUGAAGAACCGUAGUGCCAUUAAUUUGGUGUUGCGGGGAAACAGGACUGUUACUUUGAAAAAAUUAGAGUGUUUAAAGCAGGCUAACGCUUGAAUACAUUAGCAUGGAAUAAUGAAGUAGGACGAUCGAUCCUAUUUUGUUGGUUUCUAGGAUUGACGUA
rnacentral:rRNA from 1 species